AGAGUUUGAUCCUGGCUCAGAACGAACGCUGGCGGCAGGCUUAACACAUGCAAGUCGAGCGCCCCGCAAGGGGAGCGGCAGACGAGUGAGUAACGCGUGGGAACAUACCCUCCGGUUCGGAAUAGCUCAGGGAAACUUGGAUUAAUACCGGAUACGGCCUAGCGGCGAAAGAUUCAUCGCCGGAGGAUUGGCCCGCGUUCGAUUAGCUAGUUGGUGAGGUAACGGCUCACCAAGGCGACGAUCGAUAGCUGGUCUGAGAGGAUGAUCAGCCACAUUGGGACUGAGACACGGCCCAAACUCCUACGGGAGGCAGCAGUGGGGAAUAUUGGACAAUGGGCGCAAGCCUGAUCCAGCCAUGCCGCGUGAGUGAUGACGGCCUUAGGGUUGUAAAGCUCUUUCGCUAGGGACGAUAAUGACGGUACCUAGACAAGAAGCCCCGGCUAACUUCGUGCCAGCAGCCGCGGUAAUACGAAGGGGGCUAGCGUUGUUCGGAAUUACUGGGCGUAAAGCGCGUGUAGGCGGGCUUUUAAGUCAGGGGUGAAAUGCCAAGGCUCAACCUUGGAACUGCCUUUGAUACUGGAAGUCUUGAGUCCGGGAGAGGUGAGUGGAACUGCGAGUGUAGAGGUGAAAUUCGUAGAUAUUCGCAAGAACACCAGUGGCGAAGGCGGCUCACUGGCCCGGAACUGACGCUGAGACGCGAAAGCGUGGGGAGCAAACAGGAUUAGAUACCCUGGUAGUCCACGCUGUAAACGAUGGAUGCUAGCCGUUGGGGAGCUUGCUCUUCAGUGGCGCAGCUAACGCUUUAAGCAUCCCGC
rnacentral:rRNA from 1 species